GAACUGAAGAGUUUGAUCAUGGCUCAGAUUGAACGCUGGCGGCAGGCCUAACACAUGCAAGUCGAGCGGAUGAAGGGAGCUUGCUCCUGGAUUCAGCGGCGGACGGGUGAGUAAUGCCUAGGAAUCUGCCUGGUAGUGGGGGAUAACGUCCGGAAACGGGCGCUAAUACCGCAUACGUCCUGAGGGAGAAAGUGGGGGAUCUUCGGACCUCACGCUAUCAGAUGAGCCUAGGUCGGAUUAGCUAGUUGGUGGGGUAAAGGCCUACCAAG
rnacentral:rRNA from 1 species